rnacentral:rRNA from 1 species
UACGUAGGUGGCAAGCGUUAUCCGGAUUUAUUGGGCGUAAAGAGAACGCAGGCGGUCUUUUAAGUCUGAUGUGAAAGCCUUCGGCUUAACCGUAGUAAGCCUUUGAAACUGGGAAACUUGAGUGCAGGAGAGGAGAGUGGAAUUCCUAGUGUAGCGGUGAAAUGCGUAGAUAUUAGGAGGAACACCAGUUGCGAAGGCGGCUCUCUGGACUGUAACUGACACUGAGGCACGAAAGCGUGGGGAGCAAACAGG